GACGGAGGAUGCAAGCGUUAUCCGGAAUGAUUGGGCGUAAAGCGUCCGCAGGUGGCAGUUCAAGUCUGCUGUCAAAGACCGGGGCUUAACUUCGGAAAGGCAGUGGAAACUGAACAGCUAGAGUAUGGUAGGGGCAGAGGGAAUUCCUGGUGUAGCGGUGAAAUGCGUAGAGAUCAGGAAGAACAUCGGUGGCGAAGGCGCUCUGCUGGACCAUAACUGACACUCAGGGACGAAAGCUAGGGGAGCGAAUGGG
rnacentral:rRNA from 3 species